rnacentral:tRNA from 1 species
GGUGGCUCAGUGGUAGAGUGCUUGCCUGGCAUGCAUGAGGCCCUGGGUUCCAUUCCUCAGCACCA